rnacentral:lncRNA from 10 species
CCUUGCUCGGGCCUGCUCCCAACCUAUGGAGUGUGCUUUCAUUUUCAGUAAAUCUCUACUUUCGUUGCUUCAUUCUUCCCUUGUUUUGUUUGUGCGUUUUGUCCAAUUCUUUGUUCAAGAUGACAAGAACCUGGACACCCUCCACCGGUACAGCUGCCUAAUGUCACGGAGAUGAGCCAGCCUAUCAGCUAAAAACAGGUUUCAACUAUCUGCAUUGGAAGAUACCUCCCAUUCAAACCAUAUGGAUUGCCCAAGCUGAUCUUGAAUUUUAGCCUCCAGUGAUCCUCCCAUCUCAGCCUCCCAAAGCACUGGAAUUAGAGGCAUAAGCUAACACACCUGGUCUCAACCUGUAAAUCAUUAAGGUGACAAUAGAAAAUUGAUAUUUUUGUUGUUAUUUCAUUUCAUUGUGCUUCACUUUACUGUGCAUCAUGAAUAUUGCAUAUUUUGCAAAUUGAAGGUUUGUGGCACCCCUGCAACCAGCAAAUCCAUCGGUGCCAUUUUUCUAGUAAUGUGUGCUUACUUCAUGUCGCUAUGUCAGAUUGUGGUAAUUCUCACAAUAUUUCAAACUUUUUAAUUAUUGUUAUAUCUGUUAUGGUGAUCCAUGAUUUGUGAUUUCUGAUGUUAUUCUUGUAAUUGUUUUUGGGAUGCAACAAACCACACCCAUAUAAAACAGAGAGCAUACUCCAUAAAUUUUGUGUGUAUUCUGACUGUUCCACCAACCAACCAUUAUCCUGUCUCUUCCCUCUCCACAGGACACCCUAUUCCCUGAGAUGCAACAAUAUUGAAAUCAGGUUAACUAAUAGCCCUUAAAUGACCUCUUAGUGUAAAGGUGAAAGGAUGUGUCACACAUCUCUCACUUGAAGUCAAAAGCUGCAAAUGAUGAAGCUUAGUGAAGAAGGCAUGUUGAAAGCCAAGACAGACCAAUAGCUAGGUCUCUCUUUCCAAACAAUUAGCCAGGUUGUAAGUGUAAAGGAAAAGUUCCUGAAAGAAAUUAAAAUUGCUAUCACAGUUAACACAUGAAUGAUAAGAAAUCAAAACAGAAUUAUUAUUUGUUAGAUACAGCUAGAUUCCUAUUCAAACAGUUUGUUCAAUUCCCCUGUUCUUUAUUCUCUAAAUUCCAAGUACCCCCCACCCCCAGCUUUUGCUGCACAGUAACCUGUCUAAACACGCUUACACAUGAUAAGCCCCAGUCCACAUUUCUUUUCUUAUGUGGAAUAGGUUAGCUUUCUAGUCCCCCACAGGUGACCUCUUCCUCCUCUCCCUCUCUCCUCUAUCACACACAUGCCUUAUCCAAGAAAGUUUAAGUGAUUAGCCAAUCGGGACUAGUUUAGAGUCUGUGGUCCAACCCCAGCCAAUGGGGGAAAGAUACAGAGGUAGAAUCUGCAUUAGGAAUAAAAACUCCUACUCUCCUUUGUUCUGUGUGCUCUUGUGAUCAUGACUGAUGCAGGCAGCACCCUUCUGCAGAAGUAAAUUUGCCUUGCUGAGAAAUCCUUUAUCUCAGUACUGGUUCUUCUUUGCAGCACUGUGCAUUUGUUUCCAACAUUACUGAUGUGGAGAAAGUUAUAGUGGUCUGGAGAGUAGAUCAAAGCAGCCACGACAUUCCCUUAAGCCAAAGUCUAGUCCAGAGCAAGGUUCUAAC